CACGUAGUUAGCCGUGGCUUUCUGAUUAGGUACCGUCAAGACGUGCAUAGUUACUUGCACAUUUGUUCUUCCCUAAUAACAGAGUUUUACGAUCCGAAGACCUUCAUCACUCACGCGGCGUUGCUCCGUCAGGCUUUCGCCCAUUGCGGAAGAUUCCCUACUGCUGCCUCCCGUAGGAGUCUGGACCGUGUCUCAGUUCCAGUGUGGCCGAUCACCCUCUCAGGUCGGCUACGCAUCGUUGCCUUGGUAAGCCGUUACCUUACCAACUAGCUAAUGCGGCGCGGAUCCAUCUAUAAGUGACAGCAAAACCGUCUUUCACUAUUGAACCAUGCGGUUCAAUAUAUUAUCCGGUAUUAGCUCCGGUUUCCCGAAGUUAUCCCAGUCUUAUAGGUAGGUUAUCCACGUGUUACUCACCCGUCCGCCGCUAACGUCAGAGGAGCAAGCUCCUCGUCUGUUCGCUCGACUUGCAUGUAUUAGGCACGCCGCCAGCGUUCAU
rnacentral:rRNA from 1 species